CCUACGGGCGGCAGCAGUGAGGAAUAUUGGUCAAUGGGCGCGAGCCUGAACCAGCCAAGUCGCGUGAGGGAGGACGGCCCUACGGGUUGUAAACCUCUUUUGCCGGGGAGCAACGGGCGUCACGUGUGGCGCCACUGAGAGUACCCGGAGAAAAAGCAUCGGCUAACUCCGUGCCAGCAGCCGCGGUCAUACGGAGGAUGCGAGCGUUAUCCGGAUUGAUUGGGUUUAAAGUGUGCGUAGGCGGAUCGUUAAGUAAUUGGUCAAAUUGAGGGGCGAAACCCCUUCCCGCCAUUGAAACUGGCUGUAUUGGGAGGUCGAGAGGUAUGCGGAAUGCGCAGUGUAGCGGUGAAAUGCUUAG
rnacentral:rRNA from 1 species